UACGGAGGAUCCAAGCGUUAUCCGGAAUCAUUGGGUUUAAAGGGUCCGUAGGCGGUUUAGUAAGUCAGUGGUGAAAGCCCAUCGCUCAACGGUGGAACGGCCAUUGAUACUGCUGAACUUGAAUUAUUAGGAAGUAACUAGAAUAUGUAGUGUAGCGGUGAAAUGCUUAGAGAUUACAUGGAAUACCAAUUGCGAAGGCAGGUUACUACACAGUUAUUGACACUGAGGCACGAAAGCGUGGGGAUCAAACAGG
rnacentral:rRNA from 1 species